GACGAACGCUGGCGGCGUGCUUAACACAUGCAAGUCGAACGGUAAGGCCCUUCGGGGUACACGAGUGGCGAACGGGUGAGUAACACGUGGGUGAUCUGCCCUGCACUUCGGGAUAAGCCUGGGAAACUGGGUCUAAUACCGGAUAGGACCCUGGGAUGCAUGUCCUGGGGUGGAAAGCGUUUGCGGUGUGGGAGGGGCCCGCGGCCUAUCAGCUUGUUGGUGGGGUGAUGGCCUACCAAGGCGACGACGGGUAGCCGGCCUGAGAGGGUGACCGGCCACACUGGGACUGAGAUACGGCCCAGACUCCUACGGGAGGCAGCAGUGGGGAAUAUUGCACAAUGGGCGCAAGCCUGAUGCAGCGACGCCGCGUGAGGGAUGACGGCCUUCGGGUUGUAAACCUCUUUCAGCACCGACGAAGCGCAAGUGACGGUAGGUGCAGAAGAAGGACCGGCCAACUACGUGCCAGCCGCCGCGGUAA
rnacentral:rRNA from 1 species